UUGAUGUGCACCACAGAAUUGUGGACUUUAUCACUAGUGAGCAGUUCCAAUGGCUUCAAACCCAGUGUACUCACCAAUGGCUAAAGGAAUCCCCAUGACUAUCAGCAAGAAUCUUCCACAUUUGAGAGAGAACACUCAGCACUGGGAAAUUGAAGAUUUGAAGAGCUCUAACAACUUUGGGUCUUCCAGUUGAUCCAGGAAACUGAGGUAUUUACCAAAUUCAAAAUGAAUGUAUCAAUAAGGAUAAGAGUGUGAAACAAGAACAUGGACUGCUGAAAUGUGUGGUAACUUAAAACCUGGGAAAAAACGUGUCACAGAGGACUGUUCCUGGCCUGAAGAGAAGAUGGGAAAAAUUUGAAGUCAUAAAACACUGUGUGACUACAGGAUGUCAAGAUAAAACAGCAGCUAUAAUCUACUUCAUAGGAAGACCUCAGGCCAUAUUUUCAUCCCUUUCUUGAGGCUCAUCUGGAAAAGGCAGUCCUGGCUGAGGUGCGCGACUGGAGGGACCCAUCUGAAAAGCACCUGGAGAGCAAGAACUGGAGAAAGUUCCUUACAACAGAACCCCUCAGCGACCUCACCUUGCCUCUUCGAAAGAUGGAGAGAAGGCAACACACAGUCACAGCACAACCAGCUUUGGAGGUGAGUGAGCCACAAAAGCUCACCCAGAGCUCAAAAACUCUGCUGAACUCCUGUUUUGUCCUGCAGCCAUCACAAGGCCUUACAAGUCCAUGUUUUAUUGUAGCAAUGAAAUGCAUUGAUAAAACAGAGACCUGAAUCCCCCCCAUCACCUAAGUACUUAUUGCUGUCUACCUUCUGAAUUAAUUCAGAUUCUGGGUUCUAGAGAUCAUUUGUAAAAACGGCAAAAAACUCUGACAUCCUUGCAUUGACAGGGCUUCCAUUUUAACCAGGGAAUCUUAAUCUCAGAAAGCUGUAGUAAUAUGAUGAACCAGACUAAAAUGUGUUGAUCUUAUAUUCCUUGGCAUCUAACAGCAGUUUGUUCCAGUUGAAUCAGAGUGAGGAACUAUGGUAGCUCCCCCUUCUUGUAAAAUGGACAUGUAAUUUGCAAAAGCUCUUAAA